rnacentral:rRNA from 1 species
GAGUUUGAUCAUGGCUCAGAUUGAACGCUGGCGGCAUGCCUUACACAUGCAAGUCGAACGGCAGCACGGGAGCUUGCUCCUGGUGGCGAGUGGCGAACGGGUGAGUAAUGCAUCGGAACGUAUCCUGGAGUGGGGGAUAACGUAGCGAAAGUUACGCUAAUACCGCAUAUUCUGUGAGCAGGAAAGCGGGGGACCUUCGGGCCUCGCGCUCUUGGAGCGGCCGAUGUCGGAUUAGCUAGUUGGUGAGGUAAAGGCUCACCAAGGCAACGAUCCGUAGCAGGUCUGAGAGGAUGAUCUGCCACACUGGAACUGAGACACGGUCCAGACUCCUACGGGAGGCAGCAGUGGGGAAUUUUGGACAAUGGGGGCAACCCUGAUCCAGCCAUGCCGCGUGAGUGAAGAAGGCCUCGGUUGUAAG